AAGACACUAUCAAUUCUCUAAAUUUGAUGUUGGAAUUGACCUGCUUCAUUGACAGUGGCCCAGCAGCGUACUAGAAGCCCUAAAAAGUUCUCUGUUCUUUAAGGAAUUUUGCAUCAAAUAAAGGAGCCAGUAUAUGACAUAUGACAUCUUUUUGGGCGUAUUAAGGCUGUGUUACACAUAAGAAAUGUCUCCACCAGGUAACUCUCAACGAUUUGUUUAUUUCUGAGCCUAGAGAUAGUGCUUAAUGAGUGUUACACUUUAAGUUAAAGUCAUCGUUAAUGGGACGUGCUACCGAAUAAAUACUGGUAUUAGAUAAAUCCGAUUGGAUUGGUUACCCUCCAAUUGAAGUUAUAUAUCAGGAAAAAACCAGAAAGGGACAAGAACUCUGGGACUUGUUAGACUAAAUGACCCUUAUGAUAUGCCUUGAAAUUUGCUCACAUGGUAUGAUGAUCUUUAUGGAAAUACUUCAAGGAAAAUAAAGCAAAAUUAUGUGAUGUUUUUAUAUCAGAGUCACAAGGAAUCGGUUGCUGUAAAAAAUGUGGUUUAAUAAUCAAGUCAAGAACUUGGUUCAUGGCAUUUAAACAAUUAAUUAUGGAUCAGAUUCAGCCUAAUCUUUGAGUAUAUGCUAUGGCCUGUGGGGCAAUUUGAAACUCAGUUGAUAAACUUUAAAGCAUGAACUUUAAACUCAGUUGAUGGCCUAUGGGCCAAAGAAGAUUCCCUCCUAUGAUUGCUGGUUUUCUUCCACGAGUUUUAGCCGCAAGGAGUUAACUUUGCACCGAUCAAAACCUGGAUAUUUAUGUGAGUAUUCGAAAAGUUUUGAAUAAAGUUUCACAUUGACUAAAUAACAAGAAAAGUUUGAUUUUUAAAAUCAGAAAAACAUUUUAUCUAGAGUUAUAGGAUUAAUUCUUUACUUCGUCCAUAAGUUUCACUUGGUUCCACCUUAUUUUUAUAAAUCACUUACUGAUAGUUUUAUGCUUAGAGUGCGUAAUUGGUAGUUUCUCGCCAUUAAAAUACUUUUUUUCAUUGUGUUACGUUUGACAAACAUGAAACUUAAAAAAGUUAGAUAAGUAAAAAGUUUCUGAGAAACGUAAGAUAAUAACUAAUUUUAAGUCUGUUAUUCAUCGUGAGAGAUAAUGACUAUUCUUGAACACACAUAGAUAAGCAAUCCCCUUCUAAAAUAGUAAAUUCUAUAAUCAAAAUAACAUCAAUCAUAAACUAAAACUAAAUUAAAAACAAUAAAUAUGUUAGACUUCAAGACCAUAUUCGACUCCGAUUCAAGUAAAAAUAUAAAGGAUUUUAAUAGAACAUUAACAAAUGACAAAUGAGACUUAAUUACAUUUAUAAUUUAUUUUCAAAAAGUUGAAUUUGUGUUCUGGACCAGCAAAAUUUCAUGUAUACCACUACGUUAGUCACGAAGUUAGAACUUACUGCAACCUAACCCUUUUUGACGGAUAUAGCCACGGUGGUAUAAAUGUAACAAAACAUGUAAUUAGUUAUUAGUAACCUAUUGUGCUUGGUAGUAUUUUAAUCUUAAGAGGAAAAUAGAAAGGAUUGAGCUGACAAAACAAAGUGGAUAAUAUACGACUACGACUACAUGUGACAUACAUAUACAAUUUUAUUGUACACGUAUAAAUGUAAGUAUGAUGACGAUGGAUUGAAAGGAAAGGAAGCAGACAGAUCAGUUUGAUGAAUCAUCAUCAACGUGGGAGGAACAAGAAUGAUAAUAUGAGUAGGAUUCUAAGUCCCACAGAUACAAUGAAUAAUGUUAUCAGAUAGCUUACAACAAAACAACUUCCUCAUCAGUUAUAAGUCACCUUUCCUAAGUGUUUUAGACCCGACCUUGGUGGAAAAUCCUUGGCACUGAGGUGAGUCAUGUCAAAAACUGCAUUUUGACCAAAACCAAGUCCUAAAUGACCAUUGGGAAAAUUCUUUGUUCCCCAGUUCAUUUCCUACACAAAAAAAAAAAAAA